rnacentral:rRNA from 1 species
AUGGGUGGCCUAUCCAUGGAGCACCCUUGGGCAUUCGCCUUCGGCCUACUAGGCAACGUGAUCUCUUUCUCGAGCCUCCUGGCCCCGAUACCAACAUUCUACCGGAUCUUCAAGAGCAAAUCCACGGAGGGGUUCCAGUCGGUGCCCUACGUCGUGGCCCUGUUCAGCGCGAUGCUGUGGAUAUUCUACGCACUGGUCAAGACCGGUGAGGGCCUCCUUAUCAGCAUCAACGCUGCCGGCUGCGUCAUUGAGACCGUCUACAUCGUCAUGUACCUCGUCUACGCCCCCAGGAAGGCCAAGAUUUUCACAGCCAAGAUCGUCGUUCUCCUCAACAUCGCCGGCUUCGGGCUCAUCUUCCUCCUCACCCUCUUCGCCUUCCACGGCGAGACACGCGUCGUCUCGCUCGGCUGGAUCUGCGUCGGCUUCUCCGUCUGCGUCUUCGUUGCCCCACUCAGCAUCAUUGGACGAGUCAUCAAGACCAAGAGUGUGGAGUACAUGCCCUUCUCCCUCUCCCUCACGCUCACCCUCAGCGCCGUUGACUGGUUCCUCUACGGCCUGCUCAUCAAGGACAAAUACGUGGCGCUCCCAAACAUCCUUGGCUUCACCUUCGGGAUGAUCCAAAUGGUCGUCUACAUGUUCUACAUGAACGCGACGCCGGUGGUGAGCGAUCUGAAGGAGGGGAAAGAGGGGUUGAAGAUGCCGGCGGAGGAGCAGGUGGUGGUGAUCAACGUUGGCAUGAUCGAAAAGAGCUCUGGCGCUGUGGUUCGCCCGGUGACCGAGAUGGUCAAAGCCGUCCCGGCGGCGCCGGGGCAACAAGUGAUGGCGCUGGACUCUGCCCGCUUUGUCGAUGUGGUGUAA